CUCAUUCCUGCACUGCCCUGUCAGCAACAAGUGGCACCCAACGUGGGGCUCAAAGAACCGGACCUGGUUCCUGACAGAAGAAUCACUUGAAUGACUGAGGUACAGCGGCGCUGGAACUCCAGUGGAGGAAAUGGAAGAAUUUGUCCAGAGCUCAGGUGAAGAUGGUAUUGUGGUGUUUUCUACGGGAACAGUGAUCAGAAACCUUACAGAAGAAAAGGUCAAUCUCAUUGCCUCUGCUCUUUCCCAGAUUCCACAGAAGGUUUUAUGGAUAUCCAAAGGAAAGAAACCAGCCAUGUUGGGAGCCAAUACUUGACUCUAUGAUUGGAUACCACAGAAUGAUCCUCUUGUUAUAAAGAGAAUGCUAUGAGGUUAUCAAGGAUCCACCACGAUCAGCCCGUGAAGCCCCUGGACCAAGCGGUCUUCUGGAUCGAGUUUGUUAUGCGCCACAAAGGAGCCAAGCACCUCAGGCCAGCUGCCCAUGACCUCACCUGGUUCCAGUACCACUCUCUGGAUGUCAUUGGGUUCCUGCUGGCCUGUGUGGCAACUGCUAUAUUCUUGGUCAUGAAAAGUUGUUUGUUUUUUUUUGGCUAAAAUGUAGUAAAGCAGGAAAGAAGAAAAAGAGGGAAUAGAUACUUUCAAGUUUGUCAAAUGCCUAAGUGGGACAAUCCUGUUUAUUUUAGUCACAACAAGCUUAAUGAGAACAUUUCACCUUCUUUUCUGAUUUCCCAUUCCAGUAUCUUACUCCAGUGGCAAGACUGAGAGUUGGACAAGACCAUUAGGUAAUGAAUGUGGCCCACUCUUCCUUCAUUUUUUUUUCCAGGAGUCUUUACCUUCUUCCUUCCACUUUCUUGACACAGGGGCAUUAAUAAUUCUUAAUAUACUCUGUUCAUAAUAUCAAUAUUUUCAUGGCUAAUCUUAAGUAUUAUACUGAGUAGCAAUAUGCUGACACCUGGAGAAUUGAUUAACUAAUUGAUUAAUGAAGGGAACUCAGAGAUUAAAUUCCCAAGUUCCCAUAGACCAUAUAAAUUGGGGACGUAUAGAAGCAUAGUUUGUUAUGAGAAAAUUCAUCAUUUCUUGUUUUCAAUAAAAAUAAGCCCUUCUGCUUGCCACAUGUUACUGGAAUUACAGCAUAAAUUGAUAACUGAGACAGGACAUCACAGAAGGAAAAUUUCCCCACAUGCCCACAGAGCUCAUCUAGAUUGUCUUGGCCUGUGUUUCUGCCUUCAAUCAACAAAUAAUCUCACAUGCCUUCUAUGUUCUAUGGGCCAUUCUGAACACAGUCUUCAAACAGUAAAGAGAAUCCAUGAGUCAUUAUUUUUUCUCAGGGAGAGAGCAUAUCAUCAAUUUGUUAAAGAUGAACAUAUCAUUUGGGGAGAAAUAACUAUAAAAAUAUAUAAAGAAUGUUUUAUUGAUUUUAUGCAACUUUUAAUUAACAGUACAAUUGAUAACCUUAGAUUUAAAUGUCAAUUUAUUUUACCUUAGUAUCACUAAUAUUCAGAAUCUUUA